GGCCUUAUAGCUCAGUGGUUAGAGCAUGCGAUUGCAGCUUACGUAAUCAUCGCAGGGUCUCGUGUUCGAAUCACGAUGAGGCCU